AAACCAACUGGGAUUACCUUAGUAACGGCGAGUGAAGCGGUAAAAGCUCAAAUUUGAAAUCUGGUACUUUCAGUGCCCGAGUUGUAAUUUGUAGAAUUUGUCUUUGAUUAGGUCCUUGUCUAUGUUCCUUGGAACAGGACGUCAUAGAGGGUGAGAAUCCCGUUUGGCGAGGAUACCUUUUCUCUGUAAGACUUUUUCGAAGAGUCGAGUUGUUUGGGAAUGCAGCUCAAAGUGGGUGUAAAUUCCAUCUAAAGCUAAAUAUUGGCGAGAGACCGAUAGCGAACAAGUACAGUGAUGGAAAGAUGAAAAGAACUUUGAAAAGAGAGUGAAAAAGUACGUGAAAUUGUUGAAAGGGAAGGGCAUUUGAUCAGACAUGGUGUUUUUGCAUGCACUCGCCUCUCGUGGGCUUGGGCCUCUCAAAAAUUUCACUGGGCCAACAUCAAUUCUGGCAGCAGGAUAAAUCAUUAACGAAUGUAGCUACUUCGGUAGUGUUAUAGCUUUUUGGAAUACUGUUAGCCGGGAUU
rnacentral:rRNA from 1 species